rnacentral:rRNA from 1 species
GAUGAACGCUGGCGGCGUGCCUAAUACAUGCAAGUCGAGCGAACAGAUGAGGAGCUUGCUCCUCUGACGUUAGCGGCGGACGGGUGAGUAACACGUGGAUAAACUACCUAUAAGAAUGGGCUAACUUCGGGAAACCGGAGCUAAUACCGGAUAAUAUAUUGAACCGCAUGGUUCAAUAGUGAAAGACGGUUUUGCUGUCACUUAUAGAUGGAUCCGCGCCGCAUUAGCUAGUUGGUAAGGUAACGGCUUACCAAGUCAACGAUGCGUAGCCGACCUGAGAGGGUGAUCGGCCACACUGGAACUGAGACACGGUCCAGACUCCUACGGGAGGCAGCAGUAGGGAAUCUUCCGCAAUGGGCGAAAGCCUGACGGAGCAACGCCGCGUGAGUGAUGAAGGUCUUCGGAUCGUAAAACUCUGUUAUUAGGGAAGAACAAAUGUGUAAGUAACUAUGCACGUCUUGACGGUACCUUAUCAGAAAGCCACGGCUAACUACGUG